rnacentral:rRNA from 1 species
AGAGUUUGAUCAUGGCUCAGGAUGAACGCUAGCGACAGGCCUAACACAUGCAAGUCGAGGGGCAGCACAUGAGUAGCAAUACGAUGGUGGCGACCGGCGCACGGGUGAGUAACACGUAUGCAACCUGCCUGUAAGAGGGGAAUAACCCGGAGAAAUUCGGACUAAUACCGCAUAAUACCACGAGACUGCAUGGUUUUGUGGUUAAACAUUUAUGGCUUACAGAUGGGCAUGCGUAUGAUUAGAUAGUUGGUAGGGUAACGGCCUACCAAGUCUACGAUCAUUAGGGGUUCUGAGAGGAAGGUCCCCCACACUGGUACUGAGACACGGACCAGACUCCUACGGGAGGCAGCAGUGAGGAAUAUUGGUCAAUGGGCGAGAGCCUGAACCAGCCAAGUCGCGUGAAGGAAGAAGGUUCUAUGGAUUGUAAACUUCUUUUGCAGGGGAAUAAAGGACGGUACGUGUACUGUUUUGUAUGUACCUUGCGAAUAAGGAUCGGCUAACUCCGUGCCAGCAGCCACGGUAAUACGGAGGAUCCGAGCGUUAUCCGGAUUUAUUGGGUUUAAAGGGUGCGUAGGUGGAUUGUUAAGUCAGUGGUGAAAGUUUUCAGCUCAACUGAAAAAUUGCCGUUGAAACUGUCGAUCUUGAGUGCAAAUGAGGUUAGGCCGGAAAUGUGUCGUGUAGCGGUGAAAUGCUUAGGAUAUAACACAGAACUCCGAUUGCGAAGGCAGCUUACUGGGAUGCUACUGACACUGAUGCACGAAAGCGUGGGUAUCAAACAGGAUUAGAUACCCUGGUAGUCCACGCAGUAAACGAUGAAUACUAUCUGUAUGCGAUACACCGUAUGUGGUACAGCGAAAGCCGUUAAAGUAUUCCACCUGGGGAGUACGUUCGCAAGAAUGAAACUCAAAGGAAUUGACGGGGGGCCCGCACAAGCGGAGGAACAUGUGGUUUAAUUUCGAUGAUACGCGAGGAACCUUACCCGGGCUUGAAAUGCAGACGACCGACAGGGAAACUUGUCUUCCAGCAAUGGCGUCUGUGUAGGUGCUGCAUGGUUGUCGUCAGCUCGUGCCGUGAGGUGUCGGCUUAAGUGCCAUAACGAGCGCAACCCUUGCCAUUAGUUGCUAACAGGUUAAGCUGAGAACUCUAAUGGGACUGCCAUCGUAAGAUGCGAGGAAGGUGGGGAUGACGUCAAAUCAGCACGGCCCUUACGUCCGGGGCGACACACGUGUUACAAUGGGUGGUACAGAGGGUUGCUACCUGGUGACAGGAUGCUAAUCUCUUAAAUCCACUCUCAGUUCGGAUCGAAGUCUGCAACUCGACUUCGUGAAGCUGGAUUCGCUAGUAAUCGCGCAUCAGCCAUGGCGCGGUGAAUACGUUCCCGGGCCUUGUACACACCGCCCGUCAAGCCAUGGAAGCCGGGGGGACCUGAAGUACGUAACCGAUAAGGAGCGUCCUAGGGUAAAACCGGUAACUGGGGCUAAGUCGUAACAGGUAGCCGUA